rnacentral:rRNA from 1 species
GACGAACGCUGGCGGCGUGCUUAACACAUGCAAGUCGAACGGAAAGGCCUCUUUCGGGGGGUACUCGCGUUGCGAACGGGUGAGUGACACAUGAGUAAACUGCCCUUGUCUUUGGGAUAACUUCCGUCGACUGGGGGUAAUACAGGCUAGGAAAUCCUGCUGCAUGGAGGGGGCUGGAGAGUUUCGGCGGUUGGGGGUGGCCUCGCGGCUUAUCAGCUUGUUGGUGGGGUAGUGGCUUACCAAGGGUUUGACGGGUAGCCGGCCUGAGAGGGUGACCGGCCAAAUUGGGACUGAGAGAAGGCCCAGACUCCUACUGGAGGCAGCAGGGGGGAAUACUGAACGAUGGGUGGAAGCCUGGUGCAGCAACGCCGUGUGCGGGAUGACGGUCUUCGGGUUGUAAACCGCUUGCGCUCAUGACGAAGCUUUGUGUGACGGUAGUGGGUAAAGAAGCACCGGCUAACUACGUG